rnacentral:rRNA from 1 species
UACGUAGGGUGCAAGCGUUGUCCGGAAUUAUUGGCGUAAAGAGCUCGUAGGCGGUCUGUCGCGUCUGCUGUGAAACUCGGGCUACCCGGCUGCAGUGGUACGGCAGACUAGAGUGCGGUAGGGAGACUGAUCCUGUGUAGCGUGAAUGCGCAGAUAUCAGAGACGACGUGCGAGCGGUCUCUGGCGAUACUGACGCUGAGAGCGAAGCGUGGGGAGCGACAG